AGUGAACGCUGGCGGUAGGCCUAACACAUGCAAGUCGAACGGCAGCACAGUAAGAGCUUGCUCUUACGGGUGGCGAGUGGCGGACGGGUGAGGAAUACAUCGGAAUCUACUUUUUCGUGGGGGAUAACGUAGGGAAACUUACGCUAAUACCGCAUACGACCUACGGGUGAAAGCAGGGGAUCUUCGGACCUUGCGCGAUUGAAUGAGCCGAUGUCGGAUUAGCUAGUUGGCGGGGUAAAGGCCCACCAAGGCGACGAUCCGUAGCUGGUCUGAGAGGAUGAUCCGCCACACUGGAACUGAGACACGGUCCAGACUCCUACGGGAGGCAGCAGUGGGGAAUAUUGGACAAUGGGCGCAAGCCUGAUCCAGCCAUACCGCGUGGGUGAAGAGGGCCUUCGGGUUGUAAAGCCCUUUUGUUGGGAAAGAAAAGCAGCAGGUUAAUACCCCGCUGUUCUGACGGUACCCAAAGAAUAAGCACCGGCUAACUUCGUG
rnacentral:rRNA from 1 species